UCCGCGUCGGGCCGUGCACAAGUCUCCUGGAAUGGAGCGUCAUAGAGGGUGAGAAUCCCGUCUCUGGCAUGGAUCCCCGGUGCUUCUGUGAUACGCUCUCAAAGAGUCGAGUUGUUUGGGAAUGCAGCUCAAAAUGGGUGGUGAACUCCAUCUAAAGCUAAAUAUUGGCGAGAGACCGAUAGCGAACAAGUACCGUGAGGGAAAGAUGAAAAGCACUUUGGAAAGAGAGUGAAACAGUACGUGAAAUUGUUGAAAGGGAAACGCUUCAAGUCAGUCGCGUCGACCGAGACUCAGCCUCGCCUCGGCUUGGCGUACUUCUCGGCUGACGGGCCAGCAUCAAUUUCGUCCCUCGAAUAAUGGCAAGAGAAAGGUGGCACCCUUACGGGUGUGUUAUAGUCUCCUGUCGCAUGCGAGGGGUGGGAUUGAGGACCUCAGCACGCACCUCUCGGUGUCGGGGCUUCGGCUCACGCUACGUGCUUAGGAUGUUGGCGUAAUGGCUUUAAACGACCCGUCUUGAAACACGGACCAAGGAGUCUAACAUGCCCGCGAGUGUUCGGGUGGAAAACCCGUGCGCGAAAUGAAAGUGAAAGUUGGGACCUCUGUCGUGGAGGGCACCGACGCCCGGACCAGACCUUCUGUGACGGAUCUGCGGUAGAGCGUGCAUGUUGGGACCCGAAAGAUGGUGAACUAUGCCUGAAUAGGGUGAAGCCAGAGGAAA
rnacentral:rRNA from 1 species